UCGAUGAAAAUGCCCACGAGC
rnacentral:siRNA from 1 species